rnacentral:rRNA from 1 species
CUACGGGACGCUCCAGGCGCGAAACCUUUACAAUGCACGCAAGUGUGAUAAGGGAAUCCAAAGUGCUUAUGCAUUGCAUAGGCUUUUGCCAAGAGUAAAUAUCUUGGAGAAUAAGUGGUGGGAAAGACUGGUGCCAGCAGCGCGCGGUAACACCAGCGCCACGAGUGGCAACCGGAUUUAUUGGGUCUAAAGCGUCCGUAGCCGGUUUGAUUAGUCUUUUGUGAAAUCGUUGAGCUUAACUUAACGGUAUGCAAAAGAUACUGUCAGGCGUGGAACUGGGAGGAGCUAGAGGUAUUCUGGGGGGAGCGGUAAAAUGCUAUAAUCCCCGGAGGACCGCCUGUGGCGAAGGCGUCUAGCUAGAACAGAUUCGACGGUGAGGGACGAAAGCCAGGGGAGCAAAACGGAUUAGAUACCCUUGUAGUC